AUACGUAGGGGGCAAGCGUUAUCCGGAAUUACUGGGCGUAAAGAGUGCGUAGGUGGCCACUCAAGCGCGGGGUUUAAGGCGACGGCCUAACCGUUGUCAGCCCCGCGAACUGGGUGGCUUGAGUACAGGAGAGGAAGGCGGAGUUCCUAGUGUAGCGGUGAAAUGCGUAGAUAUUAGGAGGAACACCGGUGGCGAAGGCGGCCUUCUGGACUGUCACUGACACUGAGGCACGAAAGCGUGGGUAGCAAACAGGAUUAGAUACCCUGGUAGUCCACGCCGUAAACGAUGAGCACUAGGUGUCGGGUACGUGAGUAUUCGGUGCCGCAGCUAACGCAUUAAGUGCUCCGCCUGGGGAGUACGCACGCAAGUGUGAA
rnacentral:rRNA from 1 species